rnacentral:sRNA from 1 species
UACACCUACUCUUAUCACUUAAAUGUAUAUGCAAAACAGCGAGAAAUUUGUAGAUACGUUGAAUGUUGUUGCUUUCACAUUUGCAACUCUUAGUAGUUGUUCAAAACAACAAUGUCGAGCAAAGAUGUUUGCGAUGUUUGAAUGAUUCUUGGAUUGUAUUUGGAUUCCAUCGGUACUAUGGCCUGUUGAUUCGGCACCUUUGUCAUUUUAGCAACUUUUGUUUUCUUUUCUGUGUCGAUGUAGUUCUCUAUACCAUAUUCAUGUUCAUAUUCAUGUUCAUAUUCAUGUUCAUAUCAAUGUCCAUAUCAAUGUCCAUAUCAAUUUCCCAUGUUCCAUUACAUAUCCCGUGUUCUUUCCUUCUUCCAGCUUUUACAUGCUAGCCUUUUAUACAAUGAUUCCUCUCAUCUCGACUCGCUUGAUGAAUGGGCGUUUAGUUUUUGCAACAACAUAUGCGUUGGGUUAUCUCAUAUCGGGAAACACUUUCUGCCACUUUUAACUUGAACAAAGUUGGAGAAAUAAAGUGAUGGCAGAUAUUGCAAGUUGUUUAUAGUGUGCCUGUAGAAAUGUAAAAACGCUAUGUUUCGUGAAUGNCCAGCCUGUAAAUCGAAAUAAGAUUUCGUAUUUAUUAAGCAUUGGAAGAUCACAAUUGGAAAAAACACGAUACGGNUGGUCUCUUCACAGNCCGUUCUCCAGUAAUCACAAACAUGAAACUAAAUAUACGGUAACUUUUGCC